UACGGAGGGUGCAAGCGUUGCUCGGAAUUAUUGGGCGUAAAGGGUAGGUAGGUGGUCUCAUUUGUCUAGGGUGAAAUCCUUGAGCUUAACUCAAGAAGUGCCCUAGAAACGGUGAGACUGGAGUACUGGAGAGGGUCGUGGAAUUCCCGGUGUAGCGGUGAAAUGCGUAGAGAUCGGGAGGAACACCAGAGGCGAAAGCGGCGGCCUGGACAGUUACUGACACUCAACUACGAAAGCGUGGGGAGCAAACAGG
rnacentral:rRNA from 1 species